UAUAUAUAUAUAUAUAUAUAUAUAUAAUUAUUUUAGUUUUUAGGGGUAUAAAAUUGUUAAAUUAAUAUAUAUAAUUAUUAUAGUUUAUUCAUACUCUCAUUAAGUAUAACAUAAGAUUUUGUGGUAUCCACUAGUGUAAUUUUUUAAAUUGAAGAUCAAAUUCGUUCAUUGUAUUCAUAUAGGGUCAAGGAGUGUAGCUGUAAAAAAGCAUCAAAAUCGGAGUUAAAAUAACCGUUACAUUUUACAUCAUGAUUUUUCUUUUUAUAACCGUCAAAAGGUUUUGUCCCGUUACUUAAUCUCUAUAUUUUUGUUUUUUGCAAUGUUUGGCGUAUGCGAUCUCGAAGUAUAUACAAUCAUGUUUGACGGUUGGAUCAUUGAAACUAGUUUCGUAGAAUGCGUAUCCCAUCAAAACAAUAGAUUCACUAAAAUUUAAGAGUUUAUUCAUAAUUUCAUUAAGUAUAACAUAAGAUUUUGUGGUAUCCACUAGUGUAAAUAUUUUAAAUUGAAGAUCGAAUUCAUUCAUUGUAUUCAUAUAGGGUCAAGGAGUGUAGCUGUAAAGAAUCAUCAAAAUUGGAGUUAAAUAACCGUUACAUCAUGAUUUUUCUUUUUAUAACCGUCGAAAAGUUUUGUCUCAUUACUUGAUCUCUGAAUGUUUGUUUUUUGCAAGUUCUGGCAUAUGAGAUCUCAAAUAAUAUAAAAACAUGUUUGACGGUUUGAUCGUUGAAACUAGUUUUAUAGAAUGUGUAUCCCAUCAAAACAAUAGAUUCACUAACACUUAAGAGUUUAUUUAUACUUUCAUUAAGUAUAACAUAAGAUUUUGUGGUAUCCACUAGUGUAAAUAUUUUAAAUUGAAGAUCGAAUUCAUUCAUUGUAUUCAUAUAGGGUUAAGGAGUGUAGCUGUAAAAAAUCAUCAAAAUCAGAGUUAAAAUAACCGUUAAAUCAUGAUUUUUGUUUUUAUAACCGUCGAAAGGUUUUGUCCCGUUACUUGAUCUCUAUAUGUUUUUUUUUUUUUUGCAAUUUUUGGCGUAUGCGAUCUCGAAGUAUAUACAAACAUGUUUGACGGUUAGAUCGUUGAAACUAGUUUCAUAUAAUGCUUAUCCCAUCAAAACAAUAGAUUCACUAACACUUAAGAGUUUAUUCAUACUUUCAUUAAGUAUAACAUAAGAUUUUAAAUUGAAGAUCAAAUUCUUUCAUUGUAUUCAUAUAGGGUCAAGGAGUGCAGCUGUAAAAAAUCAUCAAAAUCGGAGUUAAAAUAACUGUUCAAUCGUGAUUUUUCGUUUUAUAACCGUCGAAAUUUUUUGUUCGGUUACUUAAUCUUUGAAUAUUUAUUUUUUUACAAUAUUUGGUUUAUGCGAUCUCGAAGUAUAUACAAACAUGUUUGACGGUUGGAUCGUUGAAACUAGUUUCGUAGAAUGCGUAUUCCAUCAAAACAAUAUAUUCACUAACACUUAAGAGUUUAUUCAUACUUUCAUUAAGUAUAAUAUAAAAUCCACUAGUGUAAAUAUUUUAAAUUGAAGAUCGAAUUCAUUCAUUGUAUUUAUAUAGGGUCAAGGAGUGUAGCUGUAAAAAAUCAUAAAAAUUGGAGUUAAAAUAACCGUUAAAUUGUGAUUUUUCUUUUUAUAACCGUCGAAAAGUUUUGUUCGGUUAUUUGAUAUCUGAAUGUUUGUUUUUUGUGAUUUUUUAAUGAUGCGAUCUUGAAGCAUAUACAAACAAGUUUGACGGUUGGAUCGUUGAAAUUAGUUUCGUAUAAUUCGUAUCCCAUUAAGUUUAAUAGUGUAUAUAUAUAUAUAUAUAUAUUUAUUAAGUAGAUUUAAAUCUAUUUAUUUUGUACAUAUAAUUAUUAUAGUUUU
rnacentral:lncRNA from 1 species